AACGCCGCGUGAACGAUGAAGUACUUUGGUAUGUAAAGUUCUUUUAUCAAGGAAGAAAAGCAAGUGGCGAACCAUUUGUUUGCCGGUACUUGAUGAAUAAGCCCCGGCUAAUUAUGUGCCAGCAGCCGCGGUAAGACAUAAGGGGCAAGUGUUAUCCGGAAUUAUUGGGCGUAAAGGGUGCGUAGGCGGUCUAGUAAGUCAGCGGUGUAAUGGCAACGCUCAACGUUGUCCGGCUAUUGAAACUGCUAAACUUGAGUUAGAUAGAGGCGAGUGGAAUUCCAUGUGUAGCGGUAAAAUGCGUAAAUAUAUGGAGGAACACCAGAGGCGUAGGCGGCUCGCUGGGUCUUAACUGACGCUGAGGCACGAAAGCGUGGGGAGCAAACAGGAUUAGAUACCCUGGUAGUCCACGCCGUAAACGAUGAGUACUAAGUGUCGGGUUAAACCGGUACUGAAGUUAACACAUUAAGUACUCCGCCUGAGUAGUACGUACGCAAGUAUGAAACUUAAAGGAAUUGACGGGACUCCGCACAAGCGGUGGAUCAUGUUGUUUAAUUCGAAGAUACCCGAAAAACCUUACCAGGUCUUGACAUGUUUUUGCGAAACGGUAGUAAUAUCGUAGAGGUUAUCAGAAACACAGGUGGUGCAUGGUUGUCGUCAGCUCGUGUCGUGAGAUGUUAGGUUAAGUCCUAAAACGAGCGAAACCCUUAUCGUUAGUUGCCAGCACGUUAUGGUGGGGACUUUAACGAGACUGCCAGUGAUAAACUGGAGGAAGGUGAGGAUCACGUCAAAUCAGCAUGCCCCUUAUGACCUGGGCUACAAACGUGAUACAAUGGCUGUUACAAAGGGUAGCUGAAACGUAAGUUCUUGGCCAAUCCCCAAAAACAGUCUCAGUCCGGAUUGAAGUCUGCAACUCGACUUCAUGAAGUUGGAAUCGCUAGUAAUCGCGAAUCAGCAUGUCGCGGUGAAUACGUUCUCGGGGUUUGUACACACCGCCCGUCAAACCACGAAAGUUGGCAAUACCCCAAAAUGGUAGCCUAACUCGUUUAUUCGAGAGGGCGCUGUCUAAGGUAGGGUCGAUGAUUGGGGUUAAGUCGUAACAAGGUAUCCCUACCGGAAGGUGGGGAUGGAUCACCUCCUUU
rnacentral:rRNA from 1 species